UACGUAGGGCGCAAGCGUUGUCCGGAAUUAUUGGGCGUAAAGAGCUCGUCGGCGGCUUGUCGCGUCGAGUGUGAAAGCCCGGGGCUUAACUCCGGGUCUGCAUUCGAUACGGGCAGGCUAGAGGCAGGUAGGGGAGAACGGAAUUCCCGGUGUAGCGGUGAAAUGCGCAGAUAUCGGGAGGAACACCGGUGGCGAAGGCGGUUCUCUGGGCCUGUACUGACGCUGAGGAGCGAAAGCGUGGGGAGCGAACAGG
rnacentral:rRNA from 1 species